CUUCAGGGGACCUGCCGGGCCCCUGCGAGCCAGCGGCACCAUAGCUUGAGAAGAAAGCUCCAAGUCCAGAUUGGCCUGGGCCAGAAUCCUCCAGACCCUCAGAUUGCAGUAUGCUCCCAGUCCCCAAGAGAAAAGAUUAUUAAGUCUACGGCCAAGGCUUUAACGAGGAGGGAUCCUGCGGAGGGCAGUGAAGAGGAGGACGGGGUGCACAGUGAAGAGACUCUAAGUGAGCAUGGGGUGGGCGUGCCAAGCAGGGCUAGCUGCCACCUGAGAUCCGUGCCAGGGACCAUGACAAAGAGCAGCCGACUUAGACAGUUUUAUACGUCCCUCUGACAAGCGGCUGGGUGACCUCCAUCCUACAGAAGUGAGGAAACAGUCCAUGUGUAAAACACUA